rnacentral:rRNA from 1 species
UACGGGGGGGGCAAGCGUUGUUCGGAAUUACUGGGCGUAAAGGGCUCGUAGGCGGCCAACUAAGUCCGACGUGAAAUCCCCAGGCUUAACCUGGGAACUGCGUCCGAUACUGGUGGGCUCGAAUCCGGGAGAGGGAUGCGGAAUUCCAGGUGUAGCGGUGAAAUGCGUAGAUAUCUGGAGGAACACCGGUGGCGAAGGCGGCAUCCUGGACCGGUAUUGACGCUGAGGCGCGAAAGCCAGGGGAGCAAACGGG